rnacentral:lncRNA from 1 species
UGGCGUCUGCUUACCUUGGCAGCCUCCAACUGGGCACAGAUCAUGCUCCGGUCCGCACGCAGGUUAGAACCGGGGGUCGCACGUGGCUUGCAUAGGUGCCAGGCAUUGAGGACCUGGUUUGCUAGUCCUGGGCGAUCAGCGUCUUUUGCCUUGCUCUGGCUGCUUCGUAUCCUGAGCCAACUAUUGUCAGAGCCACCGUCACGGCUGGAGCAGCUCUCGGCUGGUGAACCUGUGCGAGCCAGGAGGGGGUCCUCUGGGUCAGAGGCUCGUGGUGUUGCGGCUCAAACAAGGACUCCCAGCCCUAUCCUUCCAACACUUAGCACGCGUCCGCGAGGCUUAUCUGGAACCAGCCACGGUUCAUCAGUUCCUUUGUGUACAUGCAAAUGUUGUGUUCAGAAAGGAUGAGUACCUUCUAGGUAGGUACACUGUGUCAGGUGUUCUCACCUCAAUUUCCUUACUUGUCCAUUUCACAGAUGCAGAUACAUUGCACAGCAUCCUCCAGUAUUUUCACAGCAAGUUCCCCCAAAACAACGUUAUGAUCACAAAUACCAUGCUUGUAAAUCGCCCUAGGUAUCUAUUGUUGAUAAGCUUAGCUUUCCAAGCAGGUUUAGUAUUAAGCAGUACACAUUGUCAAAAUAGUAAAAUGGAAGUAGGAAAAAUGCAAAUCUUUAUUUGACCAGACAACCAAGAUGCAAAAGAAAGUGAAAUGCUGGCCACUGAUUUGGUCUAAUUUGGGCUUGCUACGUUCACAAAGUGCGAAGGUUCUGAGCACACAAUCCCCAUAAUCCGCAACUCUGUGCUUUUUACAAUGCCUUUUUAUUUCUACCUAUUUUCCUGCUCAGCACUCCCCAGGCAAACUAUUUUUCACAUCUUAGAGGUGUACUUUU